rnacentral:lncRNA from 1 species
CCAAAACACAAUUUGUAUUUCAGAAUAUUCUAAAAUAUAAAUUUUAAAAUAUAAAUGUUGUAUUAUGAAUUGUACAUCUUAAAAUACAAAAUAAAAAUAUAUUCUGAAUGUGUUUUUAACAGAGCACCAACCGAUGAAGAAAGGGGAGAGGGUGCAUCAAUGCUAGGAGAGGAAGAAGAAAGGGGAAGAAGGGGGGCCGAUGGAAGAAGAAAGAGGUGGAGAAAAGAAAGUAAGGGUAAAUAAGUAGUUUCAUAUGUUUAUGGUGGUGCAGAAUGAAAUACAUGGGGUACAAAAAGAGAUUUCCGCUACGCAGUAGCAACGUCGGUAGCCCGAGCAGCAGAUUUUAAAUCUUGGUCCAGUGGUAAUGUUUGGGCCCUAAAUACUAACCAGGGCUAAGGUAUGUUGCCCUCCAAAGGAAUUUUGCAAU